GGCGGCAUGCCUAACACAUGCAAGUCGAACGAGCUCUUCGGAGCUAGUGGCGCACGGGUGCGUAACGCGUGGGAACCUGCCCUUAGGUUCGGAAUAACUCAGAGAAAUUUGAGCUAAUACCGGAUAAUGUCUUCGGACCAAAGAUUUAUCGCCUUUGGAUGGGCCCGCGUAGGAUUAGCUAGUUGGUGAGGUAAAGGCUCACCAAGGCGACGAUCCUUAGCUGGUCUUAGAGGAUGAUCAGCCACACUGGGACUGAGACACGGCCCAGACUCCUACGGGAGGCAGCAGUGGGGAAUAUUGGACAAUGGGCGAAAGCCUGAUCCAGCAAUGCCGCGUGAGUGAUGAAGGCCUUAGGGUUGUAAAGCUCUUUUACCCGGGAUGAUAAUGACAGUACCGGGAGAAUAAGCCCCGGCUAACUCCGUGCCAGCAGCCGCGGUAAUACGGAGGGGGCUAGCGUUGUUCGGAAAUACUGGGCGUAAAGCGCACGUAGGCGGCUUUCCAAGUCAGGGGUGAAAUCCCGGGGCUCAACCCCGGAACUGCCCUUGAAACUGGAUCGCUAGAAUCCUGGAGAGGCGAGUGGAAUUCCGAGUGUAGAGGUGAAAUUCGUAGAUAUUCGGAAGAACACCAGUGGCGAAAGCGACUCGCUGGACAGGUAUUGACGCUGAGGUGCGAAAGCGUGGGGAGCAAAC
rnacentral:rRNA from 1 species